AGAGUUUGAUCCUGGCUCAGGAUGAACGCUAGCGGCAGGCUUAACACAUGCAAGUCGAGGGGCAGCAUGAGACGGAGAUUCGUCGAAGUCUUGAUGGCGACCGGCGCAAGGGUGCGUAACGCGUGAGCAACUUGCCCGUUUCAGGGGGAUAACCGGUGGAAACGCCGACUAAUACCCCAUGGCAUCAGCAUGAGGCAUCUCAUGUUGAUUAAAGAGUUUCGGAAACGGAUAGGCUCGCGUGACAUUAGAUAGAUGGCGGGGUAACGGCCCACCAUGUCAACGAUGUCUAGGGGUUCUGAGAGGAAGGUCCCCCACACUGGAACUGAGACACGGUCCAGACUCCUACGGGAGGCAGCAGUGAGGAAUAUUGGUCAAUGGUCUGACGACUGAACCAGCCAUGCCGCGUGAAGGUGACGGCCCUAUGGGUCUUAAACUUCUUUUGCGAGGGAGCAAUAAGGGUCACGUGUGGUCCGAUGAGAGUACCUCGCGAAUAAGCAUCGGCUAACUCCGUGCCAGCAGCCGCGGUAAUACGGGGGAUGCGAGCGUUAUCCGGAUUUAUUGGGUUUAAAGGGUGCGUAGGCGGUCUGUUAAGUCAGCGGUGAAAUUUAGGGGCUCAACCUCUACCGUGCCGUUGAUACUGGCGGGCUGGAAUGCGGAUGCCGUGGGAGGAAUGUGUGGUGUAGCGGUGAAAUGCAUAGAUAUCACACAGAACACCGAUUGCGAAGGCAUCUCACGAAUCCGCAAUUGACGCUGAUGCACGAAAGCGUGGGGAUCAAACAGGAUUAGAUACCCUGGUAGUCCACGCUGUAAACG
rnacentral:rRNA from 1 species